UCCUUCGAAGCAUUGAUGGCGAUGCACGGGACUCUUAAUCCUGGGAACCAAGUUCGAUUCUUGGCGGGGGAA
rnacentral:tRNA from 1 species